rnacentral:tRNA from 1 species
GGCCUCGUGGUAAAAAGGUUAAUACAACGCCCUUUCACGGCGUAGUUAUGGGUUCGAUUCCCGUCGAGGUCACCA